UACGUAGGGUGCGAGCGUUGUCCGGAAUUAUUGGGCGUAAAGGGCUCGUAGGCGGUCUGUUGCGUCGGGAGUGAAAACUCAGGGCUUAACCCUGAGCCUGCUUCCGAUACGGGCAGACUAGAGGUAUGCAGGGGAGAACGGAAUUCCUGGUGUAGCGGUGAAAUGCGCAGAUAUCAGGAGGAACACCGGUGGCGAAGGCGGCUCUCUGGACCGAUACUGACGCUGAGGCGCGAAAGCGUGGGGAGCAAACAGG
rnacentral:rRNA from 1 species